rnacentral:rRNA from 1 species
GACAGAGGGUGCAAGCGUUGUUCGGAAUCAUUGGGCGUAAAGCGCGCGUAGGCGGCUCCGUAAGUUGAGUGUGAAAACCCAGGGCUCAACCUUGGAAGUGCACUCAAGACUGCAGAGCUUGAAUCUCGGAGAGGGUGGUGGAAUUCCCAGUGUAGAGGUGAAAUUCGUAGAUAUUGGGAGGAACACCAGAGGCGAAGGCGACCACCUGGACGAAGAUUGACGCUGAGGCGCGAAAGCGUGGGUAGCAAACAGG